UUUAAAGAGAGUUUGAUCCUGGCUCAGGACGAACGCUGGCGGCGUGCCUAAUACAUGCAAGUCGAACGAACGGACGAAGAGCUUGCUCUUCCAAAGUUAGUGGCGGACGGGUGAGUAACACGUGGGCAACCUGCCUGUAAGUUGGGGAUAACUCCGGGAAACCGGGGCUAAUACCGAAUGAUA
rnacentral:rRNA from 1 species